rnacentral:rRNA from 1 species
GACGAACGCUGGCGGCGUGCUUAACACAUGCAAGUCGAACGGAAAGGCCCUGCUUUUGUGGGGUGCUCGAGUGGCGAACGGGUGAGUAACACGUGAGUAACCUGCCCUUGACUUUGGGAUAACUUCAGGAAACUGGGGCUAAUACCGGAUAGGAGCUCCUGCUGCAUGGUGGGGGUUGGAAAGUUUCGGCGGUUGGGGAUGGACUCGCGGCUUAUCAGCUUGUUGGUGGGGUAGUGGCUUACCAAGGCUUUGACGGGUAGCCGGCCUGAGAGGGUGACCGGCCACAUUGGGACUGAGAUACGGCCCAGACUCCUACGGGAGGCAGCAGUGGGGAAUAUUGCACGAUGGGCGGAAGCCUGAUGCAGCAACGCCGCGUGCGGGAUGACGGCCUUCGGGUUGUAAACCGCUUUCGCCUGUGACGAAGCGUGAGUGACGGUAAUGGGUAAAGAAGCACCGGCUAACUACGUGCCAGCAGCCGCGGUGAUACGUAGGGUGCGAGCGUUGUCCGGAUUUAUUGGGCGUAAAGGGCUCGUAGGUGGUUGAUCGCGUCGGAAGUGUAAUCUUGGGGCUUAACCCUGAGCGUGCUUUCGAUACGGGUUGACUUGAGGAAGGUAGGGGAGAAUGGAAUUCCUGGUGGAGCGGUAGAAUGCGCAGAUAUCAGGAGGAACACCAGUGGCGAAGGCGGUUCUCUGGGCCUUUCCUGACGCUGAGGAGCGAAAGCGUGGGGAGCGAACAGGCUUAGAUACCCUGGUAGUCCACGCUGUAAACGGUGGGUACUAGGUGUGGGGUCCAUUCCACGGGUUCCGUGCCGUAGCUAACGCUUUAAGUACCCCGCCUGGGGAGUACGGCCGCAAGGCUAAAACUCAAAGGAAUUGACGGGACCCCGCACAAGCGGCGGAGCAUGCGGAUUAAUUCGAUGCAACGCGUAGAACCUUACCUGGGUUUGACAUGGAUCGGGAGCGCUCAGAGAUGGGUGUGCCUCUUUUGGGGUCGGUUCACAGGUGGUGCAUGGCUGUCGUCAGCUCGUGUCGUGAGAUGUUGGGUUAAGUCCCGCAACGAGCGCAACCCUUGUUCACUGUUGCCAGCACGUUAUGGUGGGGACUCAGUGGAGACCGCCGGGGUCAACUCGGAGGAAGGUGGGGAUGACGUCAAGUCAUCAUGCCCCUUAUGUCCAGGGCUUCACGCAUGCUACAAUGGCUGGUACAGAGAGUGGCGAGCCUGUGAGGGUGAGCGAAUCUCGGAAAGCCGGUCUCAGUUCGGAUUGGGGUCUGCAACUCGACCUCAUGAAGUCGGAGUCGCUAGUAAUCGCAGAUCAGCAACGCUGCGGUGAAUACGUUCCCGGG